CCUACGGGAGUCAGCAGUGGGGAAUAUUGCACAAUGGGGGAAACCCUGAUGCAGCGACGCCGCGUGAGUGAAGAAGUAUUUCGGUAUGUAAAGCUCUAUCAGCAGGGAAGAUAAUGACGGUACCUGAGUAAGAAGCCCCGGCUAACUCCGUGCCAGCAGCCGCGGUCAUACGUAGGGGGCAAGCGUUCUCCGGAUUUACUGGGGGUAAAGGGAGCGUAGACGGCAUGGCAAGUCUGAAGUGAAAGCUCGGGGCUCAACCGCGGGACUGCUUUGGAAACUGUGAAGCUGGAGUGCAGGAGAGGGAAGUGGAAUUCCUAGUGUAGCGGUGAAAUGCGGAGAGAUUAGGAGGAACACCAGUGGCGAAGGCGGCUUACUGGACUGUAACUGACGUUGAGGCUCGAAAGCGUGGGGAGCAAACAGGAUUAGAUACCCGAGUAGUC
rnacentral:rRNA from 1 species